rnacentral:rRNA from 1 species
CCCUUAGAUGUUCUGGGCCGCACGCGCGCUACACUGAUGCAUUCAACGAGUCUAAAACCUGCUCUGAUAGGGGUGGGUAAUCUUUUGAAUGUGCAUCGUGAUUGGGAUAGAUGAUUGAAAUUUUUCAUCUUCAACGAGGAAUGCCUAGUAAACGCAAGUCAUCAGCUUGCAUUGAUUACGUCCCUGCCCUUUGUACACACCGCCCGUCGCUGCUACCGAUUGAGUGGUCCGGUGAAUUAUUCGGACCGGUGGACUGUGGGGAAACCCGCGGCCUGCUGGGAAGUCUUGUGAACCUUAUCACUUAGAGGAAGCAGAAGUCGUAACA